GGACCUGAUAUCAGACAAGACUACCCGCUGAAUUUAAGCAUAUAACUAAGCGGAGGAAAAGAAACUAACAAGGAUUCCCUCAGUAACGGCGAGUGAAGCGGGAAGAGCUCAAGCUUAAAAUCUCCACGCAAGUGGCGAAUUGUAGUCUAUUGAGGCUGUUGUCAGCAUAGUGACCUGGGACAAGUCCCUUGGAAGAGGGCAGCAUGGAGGGUGAUACUCCCGUCUCUGCUCAGGUUGUCUGUGUGUACGAUACGCUUUCUUUGAGUCGAGUUGUUUGGGAAUACAGCUCAAAGUAGGUGGUAAAUUCCAUCUAAAGCUAAAUAUUGGUGCGAGACCGAUAGCGAACAAGUACCGUGAGGGAAAGAUGAAAAGAACUUUGAAAAGAGAGUUAAAGAGUACCUGAAACUGUUGAAAGGGAACCGUAUCGUUUCUAGUGUUUAUCCUAUGCAUAUUUCAUUGGCGGUUGCAAAAUUGCUGGUGCCCUGUGCAUGGGUGUGACGUCAGAGUCAGUUUAAAUUGCGGGAGAUGGGUAGGGAGGAGGUGCGUCACUUCGGUGAAAGUUACAGCUCUCUGCCUAGUAGCCGUGGUUAAGACUGAGGUGCCUACAACAUGCUUUGGGGUCUGCUGUUGUCUCGUUUUAGUGAUUGUCUGGAUAGCUUGCUAUGCUGGUGAUACCUGAGGCGAUUGAUAAUGGUAGUAACCUCCGCUGUUCGGGACUCUGGCGAAAUGGAGCGAUACGACCCGUCUUGAAACACGGACCAAGGAGUCUAACAUGUGUGCAAGUAUUAGGGUGUGGAAACCCAAAUGCGCAAUGAAAGUAAA
rnacentral:ncRNA from 1 species